rnacentral:misc_RNA from 1 species
GAUAAGAACGCAGCGAAAUGCGAUAAGUAAUGUGAAUUGCAGAAUUCAGUGAAUCAUCGAAUCUUUGAACGCACCUUGCGCCCUUUGGCCAUUCCGAAGGGCAUGCCUGUUUGAGUAUCAUGAACACCUCAACUCUUUAUGGUUUUCCAUGAUGAGCUUGGACUCUGGGGGUUUUGCUGGCUCACAGUCGGCUCCUCUAAAAUGAAUCAGCUUACCAGUGUUUGGUGGGUAUCAUGGGUGUGAUAACUAUCUACGCUUGUGGUUUUUCCACCAGGUAACCUUCAGCAGUGGAGGUUCGCUGGAGCUCAUAGAUGUCUCUCCUCAGUGAGGACAGCCCUUUGAAUGUUUGAUCUCAAAUCAGGUAGGACUACCCGCUGAACUUAAGCAUAUCAAUAAGCGGAGGA